UUAAUUGAUUGAUUUUACAGAAAUUCUUUCUCCUUAAAAUUAAUUGUUUGAUUUCGUUUCAGGAGGAAAUAUUUGUUAUUGUGGCCUGUUAUCAUCUUUUCCCUACUUGUUUUUCUUUCACAAGUUGCAUGUCUUGUUAUAUGGGAUGUUGGAGGCUAUAAACAGAGUGUAGGAGAUGUUUGGUGGCUCAAGCUAAUUGGUUUUAUGAUAAUCCAGUCUUGGAGAUCUCCCACUGUGAUCUAUUUUUUGGUUACACAACUUCUAGUGCUAGUAGUUGCAUUGCUUGAUAUACAUGGGAACAGAUUCGGUCUUGUUCCGUGGCGGUAUACUUGUUGGGGUCAUUUCUUAACAGUUGUUGACCAAUUAGGUUUGUUCCCAUCUUAAAGUUGCUUCCUAUUUGCUUCUACCUGCUAUUCAGCUGGUUGUGGGAAUUAGCCAUCCCUCGUGGAUUUCUCUGCCAUUUUUCAUUGGAAGCUGUAUUGGGAUAGUGGAUUGGUCUUUGACUAGCAAU